rnacentral:rRNA from 1 species
CCUACGUGAGGCAGCAGUGAGGAAUAUUGGUCAAUGGGCGCGAGCCUGAACCAGCCAAGUAGCGUGAAGGAUGACUGCCCUACGGGUUGUAAACUUCUUUUAUAAAGGAAUAAAGUGAGGCACGUGUGCCUUUUUGUAUGUACUUUAUGAAUAAGGAUCGGCUAACUCCGUGCCAGCAGCCGGGGUAAUACGGAGGAACCGAGCGUUAUCCGGAUUUUAUGGGGUUAAAGGGAGCGGUGGUUGGUUGUUAAGUUAAGUGUUAAAAUUUGCGGCCCAACCGUAGAAAUGCAAUUGAUACUGGCAGCCGUGAGUACAGGUGAGGUAGGCGGAAUGCGUGGUGUAGCGGUGAAAUGCUUAGAUAUCACGAAGAACUCCGAUUGCGAAGGCAGCCUACUAGACUGCCACUGACAUUGAAGCUCGAAAGUGUGGGUAUCAAACAGGAUUAGAUACCCGAGUAGUC